rnacentral:snRNA from 1 species
GUGCCUUAAACUAAUGAGUAAGGAAAAUAUCUAGCCUUGGUAAUGCUUGGCAGUAACUUAUAUUUGUUAACCAAUUUUUGGAAGGGCUUAGGUCGUCCUGGCUGUUGCGGUUGCAAAAUCGUUACUAUCAGUGAAGCGAUUUGCCCU